GGGCUCUGCAGCCUGCCUGUGUAAGUCUAAAUAAAAACUUUUUUCUUCAAUUUGUUCCUCAUACUUUUUUCAAACAUCAAGGAAAGCUCUAUACCUCAGAAAUGGCGAUGAGGAUGGGAUUGCUGACAAGAUGUCAGGGCAAAUAUGCUCAGAAGUAAUCCACUGAAGCUGAUUGUGGGCCAAAUAUUUCUCCAUUUAUUUUGAGCCCUGACUGACAGCUUAUAUUAGCACUACAACUUAAUGAAAGUGUUCCUCUCUGGACGUAUAAAACAUUUUUAGAAGUUUACAGGAACAUAUAAAGUAGAUGCAUGGAUGUACUCAGGCGAAUGGUGGAAAACAGGACAAGAUCAUUUUGUAGAUAAUGGAUUGAGAGUCCAAGCUAAACUGAAGCUGAACCAAACCCAACACUUUUGAUAAGCACCAAAUAUGGCAGGUUGGCAACUACUUAAAGGAGAAGCUGGAAAUUGACUGGAAAUCAUGUUGCAUUCCUGGCACAGAAGAGGGGGCUCUAACAACUACUUGGAGAGCUGCAUACAAUGUGUCAAUCCUCUGUUCCUCAUUAUGGAAGAUAAGUUUCCAAAAAACUGAAUGACUGACAUCCACACUAGCACUGUGCUGGUCAGUGGUGGCUCAAGGUCUCAGUGCACCUGAAGCAGGGUACCACAUGCUACUCCUCUGUGUGCACCCCCUUCCCCCUUUUAAACGCAGGGGCAGAAGGACAUCUUGUCACAUAAUUGGUGCCCCAGUAAUCUGCUCCAUGAGGUGACCGCCUCACCUUGCUCAUGUUCACUCACCUUGCCUCAUGCACCCUGGCUUGGGUGCAACAGUGCUGACAUCUAAAUGCACUGUCACAUGUGGGGCUGUUUUUGCUACUCUCCCCUCACGAGAUUACCCGUAACCCUGAUCCUAACCUAAAGACAGAUAUGGACCUAAUACAGGAAUAAAAUAAGCAGAGUGGUAACAAUGACUGUGUUUCUGGUCACCGAGGACAGAAGCCUAAGCAUAAGGAUGAACAUUUGACAAAGGAUCUACAAACUGCAAGCUUGAAGGGGGACGUUUUCAUUUGCUCAUCUUUGUUCAAUUCAACCAGCUGGAAAAAUGUG